AUAAUUAACUAGGGGUGCCCUUUGGCUGAGAAGAUUUUACUAAUCUAACUCUAUGAACCUGACGUAGUUAGUACUACCGUAGGGAAGUUAUGUACGAUUAUU
rnacentral:ncRNA from 2 species